rnacentral:lncRNA from 1 species
UGGUGUACUCACAUAUUAAAAAAUAAAAUGAAAAGCAUAAUGGAUACACUUAUUUUUAUAGUUUGUAGUUCUCACUCUCAAUGAUACUUUUGAUUUUUUUUUUAAAUUAUAAUUUUAUGUUCUCAAAUUUAGAUGGUUCCUACAUACACUAAUUUAUUUUUAAAAUUUUCAAAUAUGAUCUUUAAUUUCUAAAAUAUUUCAAAAUGAUUUCGUUAUUCAUCUCUGUUAACAGAACAAUAUUACAUGACCAUCAC